AUUGAACGCUGGCGGCAGGCCUAACACAUGCAAGUCGAACGAGUGGCGGACGGGUGAGUAAUGUCUGGGAAACCGCCCGACGGAGGGGGAUAACUACUGGAAACGGUAUGCAAUCCCGUAUCCUUUCCGCUGUGCCCAGAUGGGAUUAGCUAGUUGGUGGGGUAACGGCUCACCAAGGCGACGAUCCCUAGCUGGUCUGAGAGGAUGACAAGGCACACGGGAACUGAAACAAGGUCCAGACUCCUACGGGAGGCAGCGGUGGGGAAUAUUGCACUAUGGGAGCGAGGCUGGUGCGACCAUGCCGCGUGUAUGAAGAAGGCCUUGGGUUUGUAAAGUACUUUCAGCGGGGAGGCGUUACCCGAAGAAGAAGCACCGGCUAACUCCGUGCCAGCAGCCGCGGUAAUUC
rnacentral:rRNA from 1 species